rnacentral:rRNA from 1 species
AGUGAACGCUGGCGGUAGGCCUAACACAUGCAAGUCGAACGGCAGCACAGUAAGAGCUUGCUCUUACGGGUGGCGAGUGGCGGACGGGUGAGGAAUACAUCGGAAUCUACUUUUUCGUGGGGGAUAACGUAGGGAAACUUACGCUAAUACCGCAUACGACCUACGGGUGAAAGCAGGGGAUCUUCGGACCAUGCGCGAUUGAAUGAGCCGGAGUCGGAUUAACUAGUUGGCGGGGUAAAGGCCCACCAAGGCGACGAUCCGUAGCCGGUCUGAGAGGAUGAUCCACCCAACCGGGAAUUGAGACCGGGCCCAGCUCCUAAGGGGGGGAGGCAGUGGGGAAUUUUGGAAAAGGGGGGAAAGCCGGAGCCAGCAAUACGGGGGGGGUGAAGAAGUCUUUGGGGUGGUAAACCCCUUUUGUUGGGAAAAAAAAGCGGCAGGUUAAUACCCCGCUGUUCGGAGGGAACCAAAAGAAUAAGCACUGCUAACUUCGGG